GCCCACACACACACACACACACACACACACACACACACACACCCACACCCCGCGAGGCAAGGAGGAGUUUUUUUCUUCAUUACUUUUUACAAUAAGUUUUCUCAAUAGAUAGAAAAUGAUGACGCUGAGGAGUCAGCAUCCGAUAUUAUCAUUGCUUGUAACCCUGUUUUUUACAUCUCCCCAUAAAACUAGUCUUAGCGAGGAAAAAAAAUCUAAUUAUUCGAAUAAGUUUAUUAAAGCACCCCCUCUGUGGGAACGAGUCAACCAUGAGCCGAGUUUUGUCAACAGCAAGAACAAGGUCAGACAGCAAUUGUCCAUUUGGUAAAACAAAUACCCGUCUCAAAGCCAUAUUUUACCGUUGCGGAAUGGGGGAAAACAGACGGCGUUCGCAAGAAGGCAAUCAAAAAAAAAACAAACCCCCUCUAACUACCGGUAUUGUCAAGAGAAAGAUGCGAAAAACAGAUGCUUCGCUAGACUAGGAUAAAAUGAGAGAAGAAGCGGAAGGGGAGUCGCUAUCUGUGACAGUUCUACCAAUCGCGAGGAAGAAUCCGAGAAUAUUAUGUCAGCAUCCCGUUCAAACAACGCCGCCGAUCAGAGGGCCAUCUCGCCGGAUCUGUUCAUACCUCACCCCGAUUUCUACAUCAAUGAUUUCACGCAAGUGGACUACGAAACAAUCGAUAAUGCAGUGAGUAACAGCAGAAAUCCGGCCGUUUUCCACGGCGAAUUAGAAGCCAUAUCCCCCGCAGAAUCUCCGCUGCCGCCGCAUCGAAGAGAAGACGGCACUAUUUCCGUCUCCGCAUACCGGGAGAACCGCGGAGAAAAAAGUUUUAAAAUCGAAGGUAAACAAUAUGAUGCAUUAUCAGCCAUUUUGUUGAAUAACAGGAUGUGACGGAGUAAUCCGAGUGUGCUAUACCGCCCCUCCCGACCCGGAGCAGAUUUUUAAAAAAGUUUUGCUUUAUUUCUCGACAGAGGUAACCGAGAAUAUACAGACCCCGCCGCAGCGAAAAGAAGAAGAAGACGACGACGACGUUAUUUUCGUCAACGCAUACCGGGAGAACUGCAGGAAAAUACCUUUUAAACCAAAAGGUAAACAAUAUGAUGCAAUAUCCGUCAUUUCGAUAAAUAUCAGGAUGUGGCGGAGUAAUCCGAGUGUGCUAUACCGCCCCUCCCGACUUGGAGUGGUAUAAAGCGAGCUAAAAAGUUUUUUUUUUUUUUUUUUUUUUUUAUUAAAUCUUUCUCUUUUCUGUUUUAUUUCUCGGCAGCCGAGAUUGCGGAUAUACCUAUUCAACCCCCCUCCGCUACAGACAAUUGCGCGGAGGAGCGAGGUAAAUAAAAAAGUUUUUUCAUUCUCGAAAAAUAGGAAGGAUGAGAUUGUUUUCUUAAAUCUCUUCUGUUUUAUUUUCCCCGACAGAGACCGAUACAGAAAAUCAGACUGAAGAAAAUCAGGUUGAGGAGGAACCGUCCAGAUUGCCUCCUAUCAGGAGAGUGAGAGCUCCUCUCGGAAGACUGAGAGGUAAUUGACGGGGGGAUGAAUCGAACCUAUUAAACUUCUCUGCUCUAUAAAAAAUGUAAGGUUUAAAAAAUACAUUCUGUCCGUCUUUUCUUACAGCUCGACGGAUGCUUCAUAAGAAGAGAAUCCUUGAAAAACUCGCUUUCAUGUACGUCGCAACAGUUCGCACAUAUGCAUCGAUAUACAGACACAAGGACCUGUAAAGUAAAAGCAUGUAAAAGUCUGUGAAUUAAGAAAUAAAGAAAAUCAUGUCGGAAGAACACAGCAUUCCUGAGGCUUUGUUGGAAGC
ensembl:lncRNA